rnacentral:sRNA from 21 species
UAGCAUUUAGGAAGUGCUUAGCUGGUUAUAGUAAGAAAACCUUAAUUUAACCUGUUCGUCAUGAGCUUGCCUGUGGGAUACAUGCAAGCU